AAAACUCAACACUCGUCAUCCAAUUUGUUGAAUAUUGUUUGAAAUUUAGUCGAUUUUCAAAAGUAGGUAUAUUUUUGGUCAUUUUCUUUAAUGCCUGUCGAUGUUAGACAUUUUAAAAAUUGGCAUAAAUUGGCUGAAAAUUGAGUUAUUCUGAAAUUUAGAAAAAUCCUGUAACAUAUAAUACGUCUCUAUAAGAACAACACACGAUGUAAUUUUUAAGCUUCAAAUUUUCUCUUGAAUGUAUGAACUCCGCGAGGAGAUUGAUUAAAAAAUACACUUUAUAUGCAGUAAAGAAAGUGUAUGUAUACGACAAAUGUUUUCUGGUGACUGAUAAAUGCAAAUGAUAUCCGGUUCCUUCGGUGGAAAUAAUACGUUGCUCACACGUAUCAGAAUCGAUAUCCAUCAAAUAACACGG
rnacentral:lncRNA from 1 species